GCGCAUCGGAGUCCGGGGAGGUAGGCGCUAGUCUCCUCAGGGUCAGCCGCAGGACUCCUUCCCUGCUAUUGAGAGUUGAUGGCUCAGGCUCGCGACCGCUGAAGGCCAGGCUCUACUGCAUGGCUGCACCAGCCGCCUCACGUUCGAGACCUGUGCCAAUCCCAUGGACACUCUCCCAGCCAGCCCCUGGACACGCUUCUCAUGUGACGCACGCCCUGUCCUCCUCUCAGCCCUCACAGCACGGAUCCUCCCCGGCGACCUCAGCGCCCCCGGGGCUGACCAGGCCGCGGCCGGCUCUCCUCCGUCUUGAGGGGGCCUCCUCCUCCCCACCUAAGUCUCCUCCGCGCGCGGAGCGAUUGGAGAGAAACUCUCACCACUUCCCAACAGCAGUGGGCCUGCACUUGUAAUCUCAGCUGCCCCACUGGAGGAAGUGACAGGAUCCUACUUGAGGCCGGGCCUUCACCUGAAUCCCAUGCCCUCUACCUUCUCAAGGUAGAGACUUUUGUAGUGAUUAUCCCUUAUUCCUGAAUUGUCACAUUCUUUCUUUAUUCUGGAUUCUUCUGUCAUCUAUAAACAUGCUCUUGUUUCUGACAUUUUAUACAAAAUGUAAUAAAACAGAAAUCAGUUCCUUAUCCCAUAUUUCUCCAAGGUAAUGACACAUUUCCCUGAUGCUCCAAGCAGCAAAUCUGUCUUCCCUUGUUCUAUAAUCAUUAUCAUUACAAACCUCUUCAAUGCAGC
rnacentral:lncRNA from 1 species